AUUGAACGCUAGCGGGAUGCUUUACACAUGCAAGUCGAACGAGUGGCGGACGGGUGAGUAAUAUAUCGGAACGUGCCCAGUAGCGGGGGAUAACUACUCGAAAGAGUGGCUAAUACCGCAUACUAUUAGAGCGGCCGAGGUCGGAUUAGCUAGUUGGUGGGGUAAAGGCUCACCAAGGCGACGAUCCGUAACUGGUUUGAGAGGACGACCAGCCACACGGGAACUGAGACACGGCCCAGACUCCUACGGGAGGCAGCAGUGGGGAAUGUUCGACAAUGGAGGAAACCCUGAUCCAGCAAUCCCGCGUGUAUGAGAAGGCCUUCGGGUUGUAAAGUACUGUUGGCAGAGAAGCGGUAUCUGCAGAAUAAGCACCGGCUAACUACGUGCCAGCAGCCGCGGUAAUUC
rnacentral:rRNA from 1 species